CAGAGUUGAAAAACUCCCUAACCCUUUGUUUACAUACCUGUCCCGUUGCUUCGGCAGGCGGCCCCAGGGCGGGGCCUCUAGCCUGCUUAGCAGGUGUCUGCCGCUGGCACAAAACUCUUUGUUAUAUUUACCACUCUGAGUCACACAAAAAAUGAAUCA
rnacentral:misc_RNA from 1 species